UAGGGAAUCUUCCGCAAUGGACGCAAGUCUGACGGAGCAACGCCGCGUGAGUGAAGAAGGAUUUCGGUUCGUAAAACUCUGUUGUUAGAGAAGAACAGCGCAUAGAGUAACUGUUAUGCGUGUGACGGUAUCUAACCAGAAAGCCACGGCUAACUACGUGCCAGCAGCCGCGGUAAUACGUAGGUGGCAAGCGUUGUCCGGAUUUAUUGGGCGUAAAGCGAGCGCAGGCGGUCAAUUAAGUCUGAUGUGAAAGCCCCCGGCUCAACCGGGGAGAAUCAUUAGAAACUGGUUAACUUGAGUGCAGAAGAGGAGGGUGGAAUUCCAUGGGUAGCGGUGAAAUGCGUAGAUAUAUGGAGGAACGCCAGUGGCGAAGGCGACUAUCUGGUCUGUAACUGACGCGGAGGCUCGAAAGCGUGGGUAGCAAACAGG
rnacentral:rRNA from 1 species